UCUACCACCUAACAAGCAUCAUCCUCCGUGCAACACAACCUUGGGACCUCCAUCUUCCUAGAACAACAACAACAAUGAUUUUGUAUGUGACCUCGCAACCACCGCCUAUUUUUCCACCGCCAUUAAAAAGCUCUGGCCUCCAUCUCGUUUCUCUUCCGUUUGGUAAAUUUAUUUUUUUAUCGUUUUGAUUCAUGAUGAAUUUGUGUGUUUAUUGAUGGAUUUGUGAGAUUUUUAUGUAAAGCUUGUUU
rnacentral:lncRNA from 1 species